GUGCUUACACAUGCAGUCGCACGAUGAAGCCCAGCUUGCUGGGUGGAUUAGUGGCGAACGGGUGAGUUUUACGUGCGUAACCUGCCCUUAACUCUGGGAUAAGCCUGGCAUUCUGGGUCUAAUACCGGAUAGGAGCGUCCACCGCAUGGUGGGUGUUGGAAAGAUUUAUCGGUUUUGGAUGGACUCGCGGCCUAUCAGCUUGUUGGUGAGGUAAUGGCUCACCAAGGCGACGACGGGUAGCCGGCCUGAGAGGGUGACCGGCCACACUGGGACUGAGACACGGCCCAGACUCCUACGGGAGGCAGCAGUGGGGAAUAUUGCACAAUGGGCGCAAGCCUGAUGCAGCGACGCCGCGUGAGGGAUGACGGCCUUCGGGUUGUAAACCUCUUUCAGUAGGGAAGAAGCGAAAGUGACGGUACCUGCAGAAGAAGCACCGGCUAACUACGUGCCAGCAGCCGCGGUAAUACG
rnacentral:rRNA from 2 species